GGGUCUGUGAGGGCGAUCUGGCUGCAACAUCUGUCACCCCAUUGAUUGCCAGGGUUGAGUUGGCUAUCUGGCUGGCUAGGCAGGUGUCCCCAUCCUCCCUCAAUGCUCCAUGUACGUCCCUCCUGAAGCUGCACGCUCAGUCAAAUAGGGCGGUACCGAUAGAUACGGUACCGAUCAUCAGUCAGGGGUAUACGGUAGCUGUGCUCCCCUGCUAGAACCUCCAAACAAGCUCUAGGUCCGUUUGUAGGAGAAUGUAGGGUAGUCAAGCUUCCAGGACUGCAGGCACAUCCAAGUGAGGUGUUGCAUGGGGCAGUUUGCCAUUGUUU
rnacentral:snRNA from 1 species